rnacentral:rRNA from 1 species
AUGGCCAAGGGAGCAGUGAUGCUUCUUGUGCUCUUCACGGUGCUGUCAGCGAUGAGCGAGGCCCAGCCGCAGCACGAGCCCGGUCACGGGAUCUUGGCCCACGGGCAUCGCUGGUCUAACCCAGAGGCAUCACCAACACACCUUUACUUCUACUUCCACGACACUGUAAGCGGCGCAUCCCCGUCGGCGGUGCGGGUCCGGACCCGUCGUCGCGGACCUUUUUUUGGGGAUGGUGAACGUGAUGGACGACCCGCUGACCGAUGGCCCGGAGCCCGGCUCGGCGGCCGUGGGCCGCGCCCAGGGCCUGUACAUGGGGGCGGACCAGGCGGAGCUAGGCUUCCUGCAGACCAUGAACCUCGUGAGCUGGGCGAGAUGCCCGUUGUUGGCGGCACCGGUGCCUUCCACUUCGCCCAUGGGUAUGCGCAGGCCCGGACCCACUGGCUCGACUUCGAGACUGGCGACGCCACCGUCGAAUAUGACGUCUAUGUCAUGCACUAG